rnacentral:lncRNA from 1 species
GGAAAAGUGAGUACCGGCUAGUAUCGCGAGAUCAGGAAGGUGGCCGAGUGUGUCGCCGCGGCCAUCAGGCACUUCUCCUUCCUGCCCUUGUAUGAAGAAGGAUGUGUUUGCUUCCCCUUGUGCCAUGAUUGUAAAUUUCCUGAGGCCUCCUCAGCCCUGCAGAACUGGGGUUAUAGCCAUGUGACUGAUCUUCGUCCAAGAAUAUGUAAAGAAAAAGUGUUGAGUUGGCUUUUAGGGCUAGAGCAAUGUAUCUUAGGCUCACUUAAGGAAGCUGUAGAGAUGAGCCCAAGGAGGGAAACCAGAAGAGCCCCCCAGGCUCACCAGUUGUUUGUUGGCUCCCUACAAACAUGUCAUUCAAGUGGCUAAUCUUACAACAGCACAAAUUCAUCUAACCAGAAAGAGAAGAGGAGGCUCCAAAGGCACUUGACUACUGAGCAUCACCCUGGACGUGUACAAGUCUGCGUCCUUAUUGUUUUCUUCAUUGGGCCGAACUUUCUGGUCCUCAUCCAACAGCUCUUCUAUCACGUGUUCGAAAGUGUCAGCCAAUGAUGUCAAGCCUCUUGAACCUGCCUUGGGCCCAUUCACGCUCUCCAGAGUCCCAUGGGUCCGCACACCUGGAGAUACUCUAUUAUAGCAAAGAAGAAAGAUAAUUUCAUUGAGCCAUCCUGUUUUACAGGAAAUUCUGCAAGUGGCAACGUGGGUCCAUUCCGUGUGUGUCACUAGAGCUGGCGCAAGCCCAUGGCCAUGGUGAGGCAGCGUUUCCACUGGAACUAAUCUGAUACCUGCACCAGCUCUUGCAACUGUGCAGUGUUCCCACUGCAAACUACGGAUGGGGUAAAAGACUGCUCACCUCCUAUUUCUCAUCUAAUCUCACACACUCUGUUUGAUGAGGCUAUGGAGAAACAGGUCUUCUCAUACACUAAAGGUGGGAGUACAAACAAUUCAAGCCCUGUGCAGGACAAUUAGGCAAUACCUAUCAAAAUUAUACAUGAUUUUUCCUGCUGACCCAGCAAUUCCACUUCUGGGAAUAAUUGACAGAUAUAGGUGCAUAUGUACAAAAUGAUGGAAAGCUCUCUGGUAUAUAUUAGUAAGUGAUAAAACAAGGUGUAAAAUAGUGUAUAUAUGGCUACUACCUUUUGUUUUAAAAAUGGGGGAAAAUGGUGGAGCUUGCGGUGAGCCGAGAUCGUGCCACUGCACUCCAGCCUGGGCGACAGAGCGAGACUCCGUCUCAAAAAAAAAACAGGGUGGGGUGGGGGGGAAAUAAUAGUACAUACUCAUAUUUACCUGUAUCUAUAUAAAACACACUAUCAAGGAUUCACAAGAAACUAAUACAAAUGAUCACCUUAUAGAUGGUAUGUAUUGGGGGAUACUGAGGUGAGCAGGGUAUAAGUGGGGCAAGACUUUUCAGUGUAAACUUCUUUUAAAUUUUAUUUUGAUUUUUGAAUAAUGUAAAUUAACUGUCAAAUAAUUAAAUUAAAAAUAACCAAUUUAUUAACAAAA